GAGAGGAACUUGUUCCUCGAGUCGUUGAUUUCACACUGCCGAGAAAAGCCUCUAGCUAGAAUAACGGUGCCCGUACCGCAAACCGACACAGGUAGUCAAGAUGAGAAUUCUAAGGUGAGCGAGCGAACUCUCGUUAAGGAACUCGGCAAAAUGACCCCGUAACUUCGGGAGAAGGGGUGCUCUUUGAGGUUCACGCUUCGAAGAGCCGCAGUGAAUAGGCCCAAGCGACUGUUUAUCAAAAACACAGGUCUCUGCUAAACCGUAAGGUGACGUAUAGGGGCUGACGCCUGCCCGGUGCUGGAAGGUUAAGAGGAGUGGUUAGCGCAAGCGAAGCUACGAAUCGAAGCCCCAGUAAACGGCGGCCGUAACUAUAACGGUCCUAAGGUAGCGAAAUUCCUUGUCGGGUAAGUUCCGACCCGCACGAAAGGCGUAACGAUUUGGGCACUGUCUCAACGAGAGACUCGGUGAAAUCAUAGUACCGGUGAAGAUGCCGGUUACCCGCGACAGGACGGAAAGACCCCGUGGAGCUUUACUGUAGCCUGAUAUUGAAAUUCGGUACAGUUUGUACAGGAUAGGUAGGAGCCUUAGAAGCGUGAGCGCUAGCUUACGUGGAGGCAUUGGUGGGAUACUACCCUAAUUGUAUUGGAUUUCUAACCCGCAGCACUUAUCGUGCUGGGAGACAGUGUCAGGCGGGCAGUUUGACUGGGGCGGUCGCCUCCUAAAGAGUAACGGAGGCGCUCAAAGGUUCCCUCAGAAUGGUUGGAAAUCAUUCAUAGAGUGUAAAGGCAUAAGGGAGCUUGACUGCGAGACCUACAAGUCGAGCAGGGUCGAAAGACGGACUUAGUGAUCCGGUGGUUCCGCAUGGAAGGGCCAUCGCUCAACGGAUAAAAGCUACCCCGGGGAUAACAGGCUUAUCUCCCCCAAGAGUUCACAUCGACGGGGAGGUUUGGCACCUCGAUGUCGGCUCAUCGCAUCCUGGGGCUGUAGUCGGUCCCAAGGGUUGGGCUGUUCGCCCAUUAAAGCGGUACGCGAGCUGGGUUCAGAACGUCGUGAGACAGUUCGGUCCCUAUCCGUCGUGGGCGUAGGAAAUUUGAGAGGAGCUGUCCUUAGUACGAGAGGACCGGGAUGGACAUACCUCUGGUGUACCAGUUGUCGUGCCAACGGCAUAGCUGGGUAGCUAUGUAUGGACGGGAUAAGUGCUGAA
rnacentral:rRNA from 1 species